rnacentral:miRNA from 1 species
UGUGGGUCUCUUUCUUGUCCAU